CCGGCGCACGGGUGCGUAACGCGUAUGCAACCUACCUUAUACAAAGGGAUAGCCCAUGGAAACGUGGAUUAAUACCUUAUGGUACUAUAAAGCUGCAUAGCUUAAUAGUUAAAACUUCGGUGGUAUAAGAUGGGCAUGCGUAGGAUUAGCUAGAUGGUGAGGUAACGGCCCGCCAUGGCAACGAUCCUUAGGGGUUCUGAGAGGAUUAUCCCCCACACUGGUACUGAGACACGGACCAG
rnacentral:rRNA from 1 species